UACGUAGGGGGCAAGCGUUGUCCGGAAUCAUUGGGCGUAAAGAGCGUGUAGGCGGCUCGAUAAGUCCGCUGUGAAAGUCCAAGGGCUCAACCCUGGAAGGCCGGUGGAAACUGUCGGGCUAGAGUCCGGAAGAGGCGAGUGGAAUUCCCGGUGUAGCGGUGAAAUGCGCAGAUAUCGGGAGGAACACCAAUGGCGAAGGCAGCUCGCUGGGACGGUACUGACGCUGAGACGCGAAAGCCAGGGGAGCGGAACGGG
rnacentral:rRNA from 1 species